UGGGGAAUUUUGGACAAUGGGCGCAAGCCUGAUCCAGCAAUGCCGCGUGCAGGAAGAAGGCCUUCGGGUUGUAAACUGCUUUUGUCAGGGAAGAAAUCCUCUGGGUUAAUACCUCGGGGGGAUGACGGUACCUGAAGAAUAAGCACCGGCUAACUACGUGCCAGCAGCCGCGGUAAUACGUAGGGUGCGAGCGUUAAAUCAGAAUUACUGGGCGUAAAGCGUGCGCAGGCGGUUGUGCAAGACAGGUGUGAAAUCCCCCGGGGNUUAACCUGGGAACUGCACUUGUGACUGCACGGGCUAGAGUACGGUAGAGGGGGGAAUGGAAUUCCGCGUGUAGCAGUGAAAUGCGUAGAUAUGCGGAGGAACACCGAUGGCGAAGGCAAUCCCCUGGACCUGUACUGACGCUCAUGCACGAAAGCGUGGGGAGCAAACAGGAUUAGAUACCCUGGUAGUCCACGCCCUAAACGAUGUCAACUGGUUGUUGGACGGCUUGCUGUUCAGUAACGAAGCUAACGCGUGAAGUUGACCGCCU
rnacentral:rRNA from 1 species